AGUGAACGCUGGCGGUAGGCCUAACACAUGCAAGUCGAACGGCAGCACAGUAAGAGCUUGCUCUUACGGGUGGCGAGUGGCGGACGGGUGAGGAAUACAUCGGAAUCUACUUUUUCGUGGGGGAUAACGUAGGGAAACUUACGCUAAUACCUCAUACGACCUACGGGUGAAAGCAGGGGAUCUUCGGACCUUGCGCGACUGAAUGAGCCGAUGUCGGAUUAGCUAGUUGGCGGGGUAAAGGCCCACCAAGGCGACGAUCCGUAGCUGAUCUGAGAGGAUGAUCAGCCACACUGGAACUGAGACACGGUCCAGACUCCUACGGGAGGCAGCAGUGGGGAAUAUUGGACAAUGGGCGAAAGCCUGAUCCAGCCAUACCGCGUGGGUGAAGAAGGCCUUCGGGUUGUAAAGCCCUUUUGUUAGGAAAGAAAAGCAGCAGGUUAAUCCCCCGCUGUUCUGACGGUACCCAAAGAAUAAGCACCGGCUAACUUCGUG
rnacentral:rRNA from 1 species